rnacentral:rRNA from 1 species
AUAGGUCUCGAUUGCUGGAAUGCAUCGAGAUUUAAAGCUCCGGCGCCUAAGGAUGGGUCUGCGGCCUAUCAGGUAGUAGUGGGGUGUAGCGUACCUACUAGCCUACGACGGGUACGGGUUGUGAGAGCAAGAGCCCGGAGAUGGAUUCUGAGACACGAAUCCAGGCCCUACGGGGUGCAGCAGGCGCGAAAACUUUACAAUGCUGGCAACAGCGAUAAGGGAACCUCGAGUGCCAGGUUACAAAUCUGGCUGUCGAGAUGCCUAAAAAGCAUUUCAUAGCAAGGGCCGGGCAAGACCGGUGCCAGCCGCCGCGGUAACACCGGCGGCUCGAGUGGUAACCGUUAUUAUUGGGUCUAAAGGGUCUGUAGCCGGCCGGAUAAGUCUCUUGAGAAAUCUGGCAGCUUAACUGUCAGGCUUUCAGGAGAUACUGUCUGGCUCGAGGCCGGGAGAGGUGAGAGGUACUUCAGGGGUAGGGGUGAAAUCUUGUAAUCCUUGAAGGACCACCAGUGGCGAAGGCGUCUCACCAGAACGGACCUGACGGCAAGGGACGAAAGCUAGGGGCACGAACCGGAUUAGAUACCCGGGUAGUCCUAGCCGUAAACGAUACUCGCUAGGUGUCGGCCACGGUGCGACCGUUGUCGGUGCCGUAGGGAAGCCGUGAAGCGAGCCACCUGGGAAGUACGGCCGCAAGGCUGAAACUUAAAGGAAUUGGCGGGGGAGCACCACAACGGGCGGAGCUUGCGGUUUAAUUGGAUUCAACGCCGGGAAGGGCG